rnacentral:ncRNA from 2 species
CACCCCGUCAUCGGGGAGUAGCCGCUCUUCGCCGCAUCGGUCGGGCACCACCCUGGCCCCGCGGACACUGGCUGGCGUCAACACACUUGGUCCGCAGACCAUGGCGUCAGCAGCCACCGGGCC